rnacentral:rRNA from 1 species
GGGGGUAGAUUUAAUUAGUUAUAAAUAAUAAAAGAAUUUUUAAUAAUAUAUUUAAUGGGGGUUAAAGUAUAUUAAAGAAAAAAUUUAAAAAUUUAUAGUGAAGUAGUAUUGUGGAAGAAUAUUGAAAUAAAAUGAAAAUUUAAUUUAUUAUGAAGUAAAUUUAAUUUAUUGUAUCUUGUGUAUCAGAGUUUAUUAAUAAAAAUUUUUGGGGGAAAAUUUUUCGAAUUUAAAAGAGUUAAUUAAUUAAAAAUUUUAUUGUUACAUAAAUAUUUAAAAUAAUUAAUUGGAAAUGAAAUGUUAAUCGUUUUUAAAUAUAUCUAAUUUUUUUAGAAAUAAAUUUAAUUUAUAAUUUUAUUAAAUUUUUAUAUAUUAGUUUAUGAAAAUUUUAUAAAAUUAAAUAUUUUAAGGGAUAAUCUUUAAAUUAAAUUUUUAUAAUAAAAUUAUAAUUUAAUUAAAAUUUUUAAAAUUUAUAUUGUUUAUAAAUUAUAUUUUUUUAUAAAAAUUUUUAUUGUAAAUAAAAUUUUUAAUUAAAAUUUAAAUUUUUAUAAAAAAAUAAUUUUUAAUAAAAUAAAAUUAGUUAUAAUGAUAAAAUUAGUAUAAUUUAUAUAUAUAUAUAUAUAUAUAUAUAUUGUAAAAUGAGUUAAUAAAUAAAUAAAAGGAACUCGGCAAAAUUAAUAUUCACCUGUUUAUCAAAAACAUGUCUUUUUGAUGAUAAUUUAAAGUCGAAUCUGCCCACUGAUUAAUAAAUUAAAGGGCUGCAGUAUAUUGACUGUACAAAGGUAGCAUAAUAAUUAGUCUUUUAAUUGAAGACUUGUAUGAAAGAUUUGAUGAGAUAUAAACUGUCUCUUUUUUAAAAUUAAAAUUUAAUUUUUUAGUAAAAAAGCUAAAAUAAAUUUAAAAGACGAGAAGACCCUAUAGAGUUUUAUAAUUGAAUUAAUUAAAAAUUUAUUUUUAAUUUAAAAAAUAAUUAGUUUAAUUAUUUUAUUGGGGUGAUAAAAAAAUUAAAAUAACUUUUUUUUUAUUUUAAACAUUAAUUAAUGAAUAAUUGAUCCAUAAUUUAUGAUUACAAGAAAAAAUUACCUUAGGGAUAACAGCGUAAUUUUUUUUUUUAGUUCUUAUAAGAAAAAAAGUUUGCGACCUCGAUGUUGGAUUAAGAUAAAAUUUAAAUGUAGAAGUUUAAAGUUUUGAUCUGUUCGAUCAUUAAAAUCUUACAUGAUCUGAGUUCAAACCGGUGUGAGCCAGGUUGGUUUCUAUCUUUAGAAAAAUAUAAUAUUUUAGUACGAAAGGAUCAAAUAUUAAAAAUAAUUUUAAUAAGCUAAUGAAUUUUAAUAAUUUUUAUAAAUAAAUAUAUAUAUAUAUAUAUUAUAAAUAGAU